UACAGAGGUCUCAAGCGUUGUUCGGAUUCAUUGGGCGUAAAGGGUGUGUAGGUGGCGCGCUAAGUCGGGUGUGAAAUUUCGGAGCUUAACUCCGAAACUGCAUUCGAUACUGCGGUGCUUGAGGACUGGAGAGGAGACUGGAAUUCAUGGUGUAGCAGUGAAAUGCGUAGAGAUCGAUGAGGAAGACCAGUGGCGAAGGCGGGUCUCUGGACAGUUCCUGACGCUGAGGCACGAAGGUCAGGGGAGCAAACGGG
rnacentral:rRNA from 1 species